AUGAUGAGCUUUAUUGAGCUGAAUACUCUGUUGAUUUUUUAGGGUAUUAUGAUUCUUACUCGAAUAGGAAGAUCUGAUGC